GACGAACCGUGCGAACGUUGUUCGGAAUCACUGGGCUUAAAGGGCGCGUAGGCGGGCUCGAAAGUCAGGGUGAAAUCCCACCGGCCCAACCGUGGAAGUGCCUCUGAUACUGCGGGCCUCGAGGGAGGUAGGGGCGUGCGGAACUUCCGGUGGAGCGGUGAAAUGCGUAGAUAUCGGAAGGAACACCGGUGGCGAAAGCGGCGCGCUGGACCUCUUCUGACGCUGAGGCGCGAAAGCUA
rnacentral:rRNA from 1 species